GUGUCAGUUUACAAUCAUCAAUCUAUUGCCACUGUCCUUUGUACCUUGUAGGUAUAAGCAAAGCUAAUUUAGAAAGGAAACCAUUAUUCUCCUGAGAGUUUUAUUUUAACAAAGGUUAGAUAAAAAUAUUUUUUUAAUCAUUGUCUUCUGCCCAGACUACUGGCUCAGACUUGUGCAGUCAUUCACCUUCAAACCUCCAUCACAGCACUGCUGAGUCUGCACUCAACUAAGCUGAGAAAUAAGCAGCUUUGACAUUUAGUGGCCCAAGGCUUCUUUUCUCCUUGAAGGAAUUAUGUAAGUCAGCAACAUGUGGUUUUGUUUGCUCACCUGGUUUCAAAGCAGAUGGUGAAUUCUCACCCCGGCUGGACGGAAGGGCCCUGAAAACAUUUAGCAGUAUUUACCAGGUGAAUUCUGCUUGCGCUCCAGGGCCUUCGGGAACGUAUGAUUUACAUUCAUGGAUGCCUAAAUCUAGGUAGUGGAAGAUAUCAAAUUCAAAACCAAAGAGACAAGGAUGGAACAUUCAGAGGUGGAAGAGAAUCUACUGAGAGGUGUGCUGCGAAAACAGACAGUUUCUGUAGCCAAGUGUGGGGAAUUAUGUAAAAUGCUACAGAGAAGACUAAUAAGAUAAGGAGUAAACUGCGUCCGUUGGAUUUAGCAACCAAGAGGUUUUUGGCCUUGAAAGUGGAGGAGAGCACUGGUGGAAGAGUAAAAGGAGAUGAAACUGAAGAUUGAUUUCAAAGAACUGAACAAAACUGAAGCUGUUAAUGUACACUAUGCUUUUCCCAAAAUCUUGGCUGUGAAUGCAAGGGAAAUAAAAGAGUAGAUGUGAGAAGAGGGUGUAAAUAUGAGUGGGAUGCAUCUUAAAACAUAGAAGAAGAUGUAGAAAAAGAGAAGAGAGUAAGCAGAAGUGCUAAUGACUCUGAGAAGGUAGGAGAGAUGGCAUAGAAAGUGCAGGGAAGUAACUGAGGCUUCAUAUGUGGAAGACAAAUCCCUUUCCAAGAGAAGGAAGGGAAAAAUGUAGGAAUGAGGACAGAAGCAUGCAUUUGUAUUUGUCAGGAAGUUAAGGAAAUUUAGAGAUAAGCAUCUCAAAUUUUAGGGAAGAAAGAGUAAGCUUACCUGAUAAGCUAAUGAGAGAGGGGUGGAAUUAAGUGCUGAAGUGGUGUUACUAUGUUACAUGUCUAUGGUGGACAAUAAGAAUCUGUUCAUCUGCUUGCCUGUCUGCUUGUCUUUCUAGCCAUCUCUUAUUGCCCUGAGUGCCCAGCUGACAUUGCUUAGGAACAGAAGAUUGAAAGUACUAGUUAGUGAUGAUUGAAGUGGGGCUCAAACAGUAGAGACUCUGGGUUCAACGUGGAAGGGAAUGAAUGAUAAUGAAAAGAGGAAGUGAGAAGAAAUCGGAGGCUUUGUUAAUGUUGAACCAUUAGACAGGAAGUAGAGUUUAGGCAUUAAAGUUAUAAGAAAUACCUAAAUUCAGAAUAAUGUCAAGGUUUAAAGUGUUGCUGUUUAUAAGAGUGGUUGAGCUUCAGCAAAGGGAAGAACAGUCAAAAUCCCAGCUGGAUUAAGAGUGGUUGAGCUUCAGCAAAGGGAAGAACAGUCAAAAUCCCAGCUGGAUUAAGAAGCAUUGAUGCAAAAGCUUAUCCACCAUGAUCAAGUGGGCUUCAUCCCUGGGAUGCAAGGCUGGUUCAACAUUCGCAAAUCAAUAAACAUAAUCCAGCAUAUAAACAGAACCAAAGACAAGAACCACAUGAUUAUUUCUUCUAAUAGAUGCAGAAAAGGCUUUUGACAAAAUUCAACAGCCCUUCAUGCUAAAAACGCCAAUAAAUUGCAUGAUGGAACGUACCAAAAUAAUAAGAGCUAUUUAUAAACCCACAGCCAAUAUCAUACUGAAUGGGCAAAACUGGAAAAAUUCCCUUUGAAAACUGGCACAAGACAGGGAUGCCCUCUCACCAAUUCUAUUCAACAUAGUGUUGGAAGUUCUGCUAGGCAAUCAGGCAAGAGAAAGAAAUCAAGGGUAUUCAGUUAGGAAAAGAAGAAGUCAAAUUGUCCCUCUUUGCAGAUGACAUGAUUGUAUAUUUAGAAACCCCAUUGUUCGGCCCAAAAUCUCCUUAAGCUGAUAAGCAACUUCAGCAAAGUCUCAGGAU
rnacentral:lncRNA from 1 species